CUGCAGGUACACAGGCUGGGCGCUGGUGCGACUGGCCGAGGUCUGUGCUCUCUGGAGCCCAGGGCUACCACAGAGCCCGCGGGGAGGUCAGCUCCCCUCCAUCCUUCCCCUUCACCUGAGAAGUAGCUCCCAACAUCAAAAAAAAAAAGUUUUGGGGGAAAAAAAACCUAAGUAUCUCCAAGAUCUUUCCCACCUUUAAAUUUAUUUCCAAAUAUAGCUCAAAGAGGGAAUUAUUUAUUGACACAUUUGCUAUUUCAACAGAACAGCCAUUUUUCUUCUUCAUGUUGCCAGAGUGAAUCAUUCAGGGAAACGCUUUCCCAGACGAGCACCCAGACACCUGGGAUCUUGAAACAGCUGGGUCCUCUCACUCCUAGAGCCCCUCCCUCCUUUAAGAAGCCAGAGGAAGGAACCGCCAAAGAAUCUCUUUGACCUGCCGACACAACUCUAGGUUCUAAACAGAAAGAAGUUCCUCCCACAGAAGUAAAGGUGCAGAGACUGAGAAUGGAGUGCAUGUUUUCUCCUACGUCUCCGCAGACGAGCACGAGUAACAGCACAGACCCUACAAUACAGACGGCGCCCCAGCUUCACAGCAGCAGAUGAGGGGCGCGUGCGUCGUGCCACAAGCCUGAACACGCCGCACAGAGCAGGUUGCCCCCAUUCGCUUACCAAAGGAAAUACAAGAGCCCUUGGUCAUCAGAGGAGGCACCUGCUUUGGGAGUGGGGAACUACACAGAUGACCAAAGGUGCAGGAGGUCUGCAGCCCUCUGUGCUGUGCUGUACUUAAUCAAAGCCACUGCUGAAAAUAAUGGGAAAUGUGAAAUCGCAAGUUAGUGUAUGAAAAAUGAUCAUCGUACCAGUAAACAAAAAAGCAAAUUAAAAUGAUAUGUUUCCCCUUCUCUUGUGCUUGCUAAGAUUACAGGAGUACUAAGGCCUGGUCCUGGUGCAGGCUCAGCAGUGGGUGACCAUCACCUGUGCUGGACAUAGUAUAAACUAGUACUCUCAUUCCAGAAGGCAUUUUGGCAAGAUACACCAAAGCUUUAGAAAUGUGUGUAUUGAUUGACUCAGAAAUACCCCAAGAUAUAAUUGGACGUGUGUAAAGAUGAACACAAGACACAGAGCAUACAUACAAAUUAACACAUAAACACACAAGCGAGCCCUCCAUCACAUGGAUGUGGUCGUGAAAACCGGGGACGACUCACAAGCUGAAGACUGGUUAAAUGGUGGUACAACUUUACGUGGUUCUCAAGGCAAUCCUCUGGCCACUUAAAUGGUGAGAUGAUCUGCCUUCCUUGUCACAGGAAGACACUCGUGCCAUAGUGCCACGUGAGAAGAGCUUACAAGACAGCACAUACAGGCUACUUCUGGGGACUAGCUCUUCAGUCAUACGUGAACACAGAAAAGUCUGCAAGGCUACUUAUAAACAAGGACUAUGGAUGAUGAGGAAUGCUGCCUCCCAGAUGCGCUAGGUCCUUCGGGAAGUAAAGGAGGACACUCUGCUGUCCAGUGUCUUCACAGGGUUUUCCCUGCUCCUAGCACUGGCCACAGUGACCACAUCUAGACGUGGAAACUGACCUGUUUGAGGUCAGGAAGAGGCUCACUGGAAGCAUAGAGAAGCAGUAGCCUUUAUAAAGCCACUGAACUGUAAACUGAAGUCCGCUAGGAGAAUGAGCUGCAGCGGGGAGGGAAGCUGAGCCGGGCUACAGCCUGUAAGUGCUGCUCCCCUGCCUGAUAACUGGCGGCUUUCACCACACAGAGGUGUGCGUCCACUGCGGACAGCAGCUAGAGGAAGCCCAGGUACGUGCGUCUGUGGCGCAGGAGGCAAGGCAGUGCAGACCCCCGACACCAAGGCCCACGUCCUCGGUCCUUCUUCUGUAGCGGCUGUAACGUGACAGGAGCCACGCUCACUGCCCUGCCCAAGUCCCUAAGAUCCCCAAAGCGAGAAGACCGCCUGGAGCUGUGGGGUCAGGCUGGGCCCAAGGCUGGUUGACCCUCGCCUCUGACCUACUGAGGCAGCGCAGAGUUGUAGAAAGAACACUGGAUUUCAAACCAGAAGCCCUCAAAUUGAGUCUUAGUUCCACUGGAAGUUUCUGGUAGACAUGUCACCUCUGUUGACCUCAAGCCCCCGUCUGAAUAAAUGUGUAUAGCAGUAGCUGGCCUGACAAACUAUGGGAAAUAAAAGCCACAUUAUGAGCU